rnacentral:rRNA from 1 species
GUGAGAAUGUUGGCAUGAGUAGCGAGAUGUGGGUGAGAAUCCCACAGGCCGUAAACCCAAGGUUUCCAGGGGAAGGUUCGUCCGCCCUGGGGUAGUCGGGACCUAAGCUGAGGCCGAAAGGCGUAGGUGAUGGACAACAGGUUGAUAUUCCUGUACUACCGAUAACCGUUUGAGAGAAGGGAUGACACAGUAGGAUAAGCUAAGCACACUGUUGGUUAUGUGUGCCCAAGCAUUGAGGCAGUCAAAGUAGGUAAAUCCGCUUUGAUAAUGCUGGGAUGUGAUGGGGAGCGAAAUUUAGUAGCGAAGUAGCUGAUUUCACACUGUCAAGAAAAGUCUCUAUCGAGGUUAAAGGUACCCGUACCGCAAACCGACACAGGUG